AUUGAACGCUGGCGGCAUGCUUUACACAUGCAAGUCGAACGGCAGCACGGGUGCUUGCACCUGGUGGCGAGUGGCGAACGGGUGAGUAAUGCAUCGGAACGUACCUAUCAGUGGGGGAUAACACAUCGAAAGAUGUGCUAAUACCGCAUAUUAUCCGAGGAUGAAAGCGGGGGACCUCAGGGCCUCGCGCUGAUAGAGCGGCCGAUGUCGGAUUAGCUAGUUGGUAGGGUAAAAGCCUACCAAGGCGACGAUCAGUAGCUGGUCUGAGAGGAUGAUCCGCCACACUGGGACUGAGACACGGCCCAGACUCCUACGGGAGGCAGCAGUGGGGAAUUUUGGACAAUGGGCGAAAGCCUGAUCCAGCCAUGCCGCGUGAGUGAAGAAGGCCUUCGGGUUGUAAAGCUCUUUUGUCCGGGAGGAAAUCCUGACCCCUAAUACGGGUCGGGGAUGACAGUACUGGAAGAAUAAGCACCGGCUAACUACGUGCCAGCAGCCGCGGUAAUACGUAGGGUGCAAGCGUUAAUCGGAAUUACUGGGCGUAAAGCGUGCGCAGGCGGUUUUGUAAGCCAGAUGUGAAAUCCCCGAGCUUAACUUGGGAACUGCGUUUGGAACUGCAAGA
rnacentral:rRNA from 1 species